CUGCCUUCCCUCUGAGGUUUGACGGCACAUAUACUAAAAUUGGAAGGAUACAGAGAAGAUUAGCAUGGCCCGCAAGGAUGACAACUUGAGCAGUGUUUUAAUAUUGA
ensembl:snRNA U6 U6 spliceosomal RNA